UUACAUUUACAUUUAUUUUAUGUUUUUGUCAUUUAUAUUUAUGUCAUCAAAAUAAUUUAAAUUAUCGUCUCUUUAAGAAUAUGGGCAAAGCAUAUUUUGGAUUAUAUAAUCCAAAAAACCUAACAAUUUGUUUCACAAAGGGUGAUUUUGGAUAAAAAAAAGUAGGGUGCGUGAGAAACUGCUAGGGUGGUAAAAGUAAUAGUCUACUCAUUAUCCAUUCAAUGUAUUAUUUGAUCAUUAGAGGACUGCCAUCACUUGAGAUGCAAGCCUCCUUCCAUUGGGCCAAUUUUGCGUUCACUUCUACUUGCACCAUAGUGUUGUAACUUCUAACUCGAGGUUCCAACCUUCAUCCAGAUUUUCAACAAAUCAUACAACUUGUCAAAGAACAAUCACUUACCAACAAAAAAGUUUUUAACAUUUGAAUAAAUGUAAAAAAAAUUGAAACAAAACAAUAAAAGAUUAAUUAAUCUAAGUUAAAGAAAAAUAGGCAUUCCAUACACUCAAGGAUCAUAUUAAAUUGGAGAUAAAUAAUGGUAAUAAACAACAUUUAUGUGGCUUAUUAGAGAGUUAUAACUUGGAUUAAGAUAAGAUUGUUAAUUUCGAGAUUCAAAGGUAAACUUUCUAGAGAGGGAUAAAGAAUACUUGUUCCUCAAAGUGCUCAAUUGUACUAAGCCAGAUUGUUGAGAACACUAUAUACUCUACUUCCAUUGAAUUUUUUGAAGAGGCAUGGAGAAUACUUGGUCAGGUUAUUUAGAUGACUAGACUUUAUACUUCUUCUAAUGGUUGCAACUUGAGGUCAGAGAACAAUACUCAUUGUUAUUGUAAAAUAAUAGAUUAAGUCAUUUGAGUGAACAAAGAUAAAUCUCUCUUUAAGAGAGGACUAAAGGUAGCAACUAGUUUGAGUUUUGAACUAAUCUAAAUUAAGUUGUGUAAUUUUGUCUCCAUCUCCACCUAUUUAUUGCUCAAAAAAACGUUCAAAUUGUAAAGUCUGACAAAACGCACUUCAAACCCUAUGCACUUUUCAUGUGUUUUCUUACAUCUUUGGCAAAGGGUUGUAAAGAUUCUAAAAUUGGAAAUAUGACAACAAUGUCUUGUACCUUCAAUGGUCAUAUUUGAUAUACAUUAAAUGUUUAAAAAAACAAUUUGGUCCACGCUAACUUUGAUCUUAUGAUGCUUUCGAUUUACGCACAAAUUAAUGUAUUAUCA
rnacentral:lncRNA from 1 species